AGUGAACGCUGGCGGUAGGCCUAACACAUGCAAGUCGAACGGCAGCACAGUAAGAGCUUGCUCUUACGGGUGGCGAGUGGCGGACGGGUGAGGAAUACAUCGGAAUCUACUUUUUCGUGGGGGAUAACGUAGGGAAACUUACGCUAAUACCGCAUACGACCUACGGGUGAAAGCAGGGGAUCUUCGGACCUUGCGCGAUUGAAUGAGCCGAUGUCGGAUUAGCUAGUUGGCGGGGUAAAGGCCCACCAAGGCGACGAUCCGUAGCUGGUCUGAGAGGAUGAUCAGCCACACUGGAACUGAGACACGGUCCAGACUCCUACGGGAGGCAGCAGUGGGGAAUAUUGGACAAUGGGCGCAAGCCUGAUCCAGCCAUGCCGCGUGAGUGAAGAAGGCCUUCGGGUUGUAAAGCCCUUUUGUUGGGAAAGAAAAGCAGCGGGUUAAUACCCCGCUGUUCUGACGGUACCCAAAGAAUAAGCACCGGCUAACUUCGUG
rnacentral:rRNA from 1 species